GUGCUCGCUUCAGCAGCACAUAUACUAAAAUUGGAACGAUAGAAGAUUUAGCAUGGCCCCGGUGCAAAGAAGACACGCAAAUUUGUGAAGCAUUCCAUAUUUUU